rnacentral:misc_RNA from 1 species
AAGUCGUAACAAGGUAACCGUAGGUGAACCUGCGGUUGGAUCAUUAAACAUUUUUUUUUGGCUCCCUUUUAGCCGUCAAAAGUUGAAGGGGAUUGACAAAAUUAAACCCACCUGUGAACCAUUGAAAUGAACUUGGCCGAUAUAUAGUGCACCUUGGCUUUACUCGUAAUGCCAGUGGCUGAGGUGACUGCCGUGGUCUUUCUCAUGAGAAGUGGUAACUAGAAGAGCCUUUCUACUUUUGUAGUAAGUUGAUCUCGAAGCUGCUUUUCAGGUUAAAAAAGACCUGGCUAUUAUAGCGGUUGAACGGCUUUACAGUAUACUUUUACUAUUAAAAUUAAACCCAAACUCUUAAUUUUUUUUCCCUUGUAAUGAGGGAGAAACCAAAUAGAAACAACUUUAGACAAUGGAUCUCUUGGCUCUC